rnacentral:misc_RNA from 1 species
GAUGAAGAACGCAGCGAAAUGCGAUACGUAGUGUGAAUUGCAGAAUUCAGUGAAUCAUCGAAUCUUUGAACGCACAUUGCGCCCCUUGGUAUUCCGAGGGGCAUGCCUGUUUGAGCGUCAUUAUAACCCCUCAAGCUCAGCUUGGUGUUGGGGCCUGCUGCACUGGCAGCCCUUAAAAUCAGUGGCGGCGCCAUCUGGCUCUAAGCGUAGUAAUUCUUCUCGCUAUGGAGUCCUGGUGGAUGCUUGCCAUCAACCCCCAAUUUUUCUAUGGUUGACCUCGGAUCAGGUAGGGAUACCCGCUGAACUUAAGCAUAUCAAUAAGCGGAGGA